CAUGUAGAACCAGGUCUAGGUAGUCCACAUCAUGUAGAACCAGGUCUAGGUAGUCCACUUCAUGUAGAACCAGGUCUAGGUAGUCCACAUCAUGUAGAACCAGGUCUAGGUAAUCCACAUCAUGUAGAACCAGGUCUAGGUAGUCCACAUCAUGUAGAACCAGGUCUAGGUAGUCCACUUCAUGUAGAACCAGGUCUAGGUAGUCCACAUCAUGUAGAACCAGGUCUAGGUAUUCCACAUCAUGUAGAACCAGGUCUAGGUAGUCUACAUCAUGUAGAACCAGGUCUAGGUAGUCCACAUCAUGUAGAACCAGGUCUAGGUAGUCUACAUCAUGUAGAACCAGGUAUAGGUAGUCCACAUCAUGUAGAACCAGGUCUAGGUAGUCCACAUCAUGUAGAACCAGGUCUAGGUAGUCUACAUCAUGUAGAACCAGGUAUAGGUAGUCCACAUCAUGUAGAACCAGGUCUAGGUAUUCCACAUCAUGUAGAACCAGGUCUAGGUAGUCCACAUCAUGUAGAACCAGGUCUAGGUAGUCCACUUCAUG